UACAGAGGGGGCAAGCGUUAUUCGGAAUUACUGGGCGUAAAGGGCUCGUAGGUGGCCAACUAAGUCAGACGUGAAAUCCCUCGGCUUAACCGGGGAACUGCGUCUGAUACUGGAUGGCUUGAGUUCGGGAGAGGGAUGCGGAAUUCCAGGUGUAGCGGUGAAAUGCGUAGAUAUCUGGAGGAACACCGGUGGCGAAGGCGGGUCUCUGGGCCGAUACUGACGCUGAGGAGCGAAAGCGUGGGGAGCGAACAGG
rnacentral:rRNA from 1 species